rnacentral:lncRNA from 1 species
GGUUAAGUUAUUUUUGUUCUUGAUAGAUGGGCCAUAAUUCACGAGAUUGAACUUUUGGGGGUGAUCCAAAAUGUUCUCGUGUGGUUACCCAUGCUCAUAAUGAAAUCAUUAGAGGAGCAGAGACCCAGGCUAUCAGAAACUCAACAACCAACCAAACAAUUCAAAACAGAGACAGAUAUUAGGUAAUUGCACUGAAAACACUCCCCUUA